AGUGAACGCUGGCGGCGUGCCUAAUACAUGCAAGUCGAACGGAGAUUAAGUAGCUUGCUAUUUAAUCUUAGUGGCGCACGGGAGAGUAAUAUAUAGCUAACUUGCCCAUUACUAAGGGACAACAGUUGGAAACGACUGCUAAUACCUUAUACUCCGUAUCUAUAUAAGUAGAUACGGGAAAGUUUUUCGGUAAUGGAUAGGGCUAUAUCGUAUCAGCUAGUUGGUAAGGUAAUGGCUUACCAAGGCUAUGACGCGUAACUGGUCUGAGAGGAUGAUCAGUCACACUGGAACUGAGACACGGUCCAGACUCCUACGGGAGGCAGCAGUAGGGAAUAUUGCUCAAUGGGGGAAACCCUGAGGCAGCAACGCCGCGUGGAGGAUGACACUUUUCGGAGCGUAAACUCCUUUUCUUGGGAAAGAAUUAUGACGGUACCCAAGGAAUAAGCACCGGCUAACUCCGUG
rnacentral:rRNA from 1 species